AUGAAGGAUGAUUUGUCAAAGAUAUCUGAAAGUCAAGUGGCAGGAUUGAAAGCAAACGACAUUCACUGGAUUUUGACUGUGCCUGCUAUCUGGAAUGAUUCAGCAAAACAUUUUAUGAGACCAGCCGCCGAACAGGCUGGAUUUGCAUCGGAAAAACUUUCCCUUGCAUUAGAACCAGAGGCAGCCUCUCUUUACUGCAGACACCUGCCCGUGCAGAGAGAAGGGGAAUCAAGUCUUUCGACUUUGCGAGUUGGAACCGAACGAUGAUUUUCAAUUUUGAGGUUAAGGCGAGUGGCGGUGAUUGUGGAGGAACAAAGGUGGAUGCAGAGUUUAUGGACUUUCUGGGAGAGCUUACAGAUAAAUCAGUGAUGCAGAGAUUCAAAGAUCAGAACAUGGAAGAUUAUAUUGAACUUCUUCGGAACUUUGAAAUAAAAAAGAGAGCCGUAGAUACCACAAAGGCUAGUAAACUUGCCAUCACAGUACCAGUAACCUUUUUCGAACGCGUGCAAGACAUAACAGGAAAGUCUAUGAAGGACAUUAUGCAAACAUCAGGA